UACAGAGGGCCCAAGCGUUGUUCGGAUUCACUGGGCGUAAAGGGUGCGUAGGUGGUUUGGUAAGUUUGAUGUGAAAGCUCUGGGCUCAACCGAGAAAUGGCAUUGAAUACUAUCCGGCUAGAGGAGUGGAGGGGGGAGUGGAAUUCUUGGUGUAGCAGUGAAAUGCGUAGAUAUCAAGAGGAACACCAGUGGCGAAGGCGAGUCCCUGGACCAUAACUGACGCUGAGGCACGAAAGCUAGGGGAGCAAACGGG
rnacentral:rRNA from 1 species